rnacentral:rRNA from 1 species
UACGUAGGGGGCGAGCGUUGUCCGGAUUUAUUGGGCGUAAAGAGCUCGUAGGCGGUUUGGUAAGUCGGGUGUGAAAUCUCCAGGCUCAACCUGGAGAGGUCACCCGAGACUGCCAUGACUAGAGUCCGGUAGGGGUGUGUGGAAUUCCUGGUGGAGCGGUGGAAUGCGCAGAUAUCAGGAAGAACACCCGUGGCGAAGGCGGUUCUCUGGGACGGUACUGACGCUGAGACGCGAAAGCGUGGGGAGCGAACAGG